GAGGGUAUAGCUGAAGUGGUAGAGCGUGUGCUUAGCAUGCACGAGGUCCUGGGUUCAAUCCCCAGCACCUCCU
rnacentral:tRNA from 1 species